GACCAGACUCCUACGGGAGGCAGCAGUGGGGAAUAUUGCACAAUGGGGGAAACCCUGAUGCAGCGACGCCGCGUGAGCGAUGAAGUAUUUCGGUAUGUAAAGCUCUAUCAGCAGGGAAGAAAAUGACGGUACCUGACUAAGAAGCCCCGGCUAACUACGUGCCAGCAGCCGCGGUAAUACGUAGGGGGCAAGCGUUAUCCGGAUUUACUGGGUGUAAAGGGAGCGUAGACGGCAUGGCAAGUCAGAUGUGAAAGCCCGGGGCUCAACCCCGGGACUGCAUUUGAAACUGUCAGGCUGGAGUGCAGGAGAGGUAAGUGGAAUUCCUAGUGUAGCGGUGAAAUGCGUAGAUAUUAGGAGGAACACCAGUGGCGAAGGCGGCUUACUGGACUGUAACUGACGUUGAGGCUCGAAAGCGUGGGGAGCAAACAGGAUUAGAUACCCCAGUAGA
rnacentral:rRNA from 1 species